rnacentral:rRNA from 1 species
CAGGGAAUUGCCUCAGUAGCGGCGAGCGAAGCGGCAAGAGCUCAGAUUUGAAAUCGUGCUUUGCGGCACGAGUUGUAGAUUGCAGGUUGGAGUCUGUGUGGAAGGCGGUGUCCAAGUCCCUUGGAACAGGGCGCCCAGGAGGGUGAGAGCCCCGUGGGAUGCCGGCGGAAGCAGUGAGGCCCUUCUGACGAGUCGAGUUGUUUGGGAAUGCAGCUCCAAGCGGGUGGUAAAUUCCAUCUAAGGCUAAAUACUGGCGAGAGACCGAUAGCGAACAAGUACUGUGAAGGAAAGAUGAAAAGCACUUUGAAAAGAGAGUGAAACAGCACGUGAAAUUGUUGAAAGGGAAGGGUAUUGCGCCCGACAUGGGGAUUGCGCACCGCUGCCUCUCGUGGGCGGCGCUCUGGGCUUUCCCUGGGCCAGCAUCGGUUCUUGCUGCAGGAGAAGGGGUUCUGGAACGUGGCUCUUCGGAGUGUUAUAGCCAGGGCCAGAUGCUGCGUGCGGGGACCGAGGAUUUGCGGCCGUGGAAGGUCACGGAUGCUGGCAGAACGGCGCAACACCGCCCGUCUUGAAAACACGGACCAA